rnacentral:snoRNA from 1 species
GAGGCAGAGUUCUAGGCCACCCUGGUCUACAGAAAAAGUUCGAGGUCAGCCAGGGUGGCAGAGAAUCCCUGUCUGAAAAACAAGGCGGUGUCUCUUAAUUCUACCAGUCUGCUAUACAUCUGUAGCAACCAGGGAUGUUUGACAUACAU